GAUAAAUGAAAUCACAGCACGUACUUCAAAGAUGAAUGGGAUAAAUUAUAAGUACAUAAGAAUUGGAUGCCGAUCUUCUUCGGUUCAGCUUCGUUCUCAUGUUUAGCAGCCGCCACAUAUAUGGAUGAAGAGAAAAUAUACAUAGCAUAGAGACGAAAUACAAACUAUACAACCUUAAAAAUCAAUUCAUGCAUAUGAUGUAAUAACUGCCAUUAGCAUGCACAAAACAAGAACAUAUAUAAAUGAAUUGAAUGGGUCUGAGUCAUAUCCAAAUCUAAUAAGAAAGAACAAAUAAUAGAAGUUCAACAAAAUAUAUGAAAAAGUAAAAAUUAUAUAAAAAUAUCACAUGAAAGAAGAAACUGUAAGUUUAAUAUAAAGUGUAAAUGUGCAAGGGACCAUUGUGGACCUGUGGUACAAAAGAAAGAAAAGCCAGAGGUUUAUUAUAUGGUUCCACAUAGAGGGCCCACAAGCUCACUAUUCCAUCUAUGAGAAUUAGGGGUGCAAACGAGC
rnacentral:lncRNA from 1 species